rnacentral:rRNA from 1 species
CGUAGGGUGCAAGCGUUAAUCGGAAUUACUGGGCGUAAAGCGUGCGCAGGCGGUUAUGCAAGACAGAUGUGAAAUCCCCGGGCUCAACCUGGGAACUGCAUUUGUGACUGCAUAGCUAGAGUACGGUAGAGGGGGAUGGAAUUCCGCGUGUAGCAGUGAAAUGCGUAGAUAUGCGGAGGAACACCGAUGGCGAAGGCAAUCCCCUGGACCUGUACUGACGCUCAUGCACGAAAGCGUGGGAGCAAACAGGAUU